rnacentral:tRNA from 1 species
GCACGUUUAGCUCAAUUGGUAGAGCAAUUCCGUUACAUGGAAAAGGUUAUAGGUUCAAGUCCUAUAAUGUGUA